AGAAUAAAAAAAUUCAGCCACUAUGUCAUCCACAAUAGUCUUGGCUUCCUUUUUCAUAUGAUCUUCAAUUGAUGAUUGUUUCGACUAGGAAGUAUUCCUCUUUCGAACAACGUCGUGGACUGUUUCGUUGUCUUCCAAACCCAAAGCAUUCAUCUUCUUUAAUAAUCCAGAUGUUGAUGGCUUGUUUGAUCCUAGCACACUUGAUUUUGAAGUAGAAAUUGUUUUAUGCGAUUUCUUUGAUUUCUUCUGCAAUUUGAUGAUAUCGAUGAUGGGAGCCUUGUCUUUCCUCUUCUUUUUCCCCAUAUAUUCCAGCAAUUCAUUUGCAAUCGCAAUGGUUGUAUAAUGACAUUUUUGAACAUUAUUUGUACCGUGAGUAUCUCCGGUAAGAUGUUCCUUCAAGCGUCCUAUUCCACCACUGUUGGUUUUUCCACAUAAAAGACAUUGUACUUGAUAGGACUUCGAGAAGUCGUUGAUUACUCCAUAUUUCCAUGCCAAAUCUGUAGAUUUAGUAGGUCUUUUGGAUUUAUCCGAAAUUACCUCCAACGGUAUGGAUUUGUGGUACACAACAUUACAAUCUGGUUGAAAACGAAUUUGGGCAGCAACAGUGGCUGCAACAUCAGGAAUAGGGUCAGGCCUUUGAGCUGUAGUGGCUGCAACAUUUUCAGCAGUAGUUGCUGGAAAUUCUGGAAUAGACUCAACUGUAGUGGCUGCAACAUUUUCAGGAGUAGUUGAUGGA
rnacentral:lncRNA from 1 species